GUGGGGAAUAUUGGACAAUGGGCGAAAGCCUGAUCCAGCCAUGCCGCGUGUGUGAAGAAGGUCUUCGGAUUGUAAAGCACUUUAAGUUGGGAGGAAGGGCAGUAAGUUAAUACCUUGCUGUUUUGACGUUACCGACAGAAUAAGCACCGGCUAACUUCGUGCCAGCAGCCGCGGUAAUACGAAGGGUGCAAGCGUUAAUCGGAAUUACUGGGCGUAAAGCGCGCGUAGGUGGUUCGUUAAGUUGGAUGUGAAAGCCCCGGGCUCAACCUGGGAACUGCAUCAAAAACUGGCGAGCUAGAGUACGGUAGAGGGUGGUGGAAUUUCCUGUGUAGCGGUGAAAUGCGUAGAUAUAGGAAGGAACACCAGUGGCGAAGGCGACCACCUGGACUGAUACUGACACUGAGGUGCGAAAGCGUGGGGAGCAAACAGGAUUAGAAACCCGAGUAGUCC
rnacentral:rRNA from 1 species